rnacentral:sRNA from 1 species
UUAUGUCCACUUCAAAUUUUU